rnacentral:rRNA from 1 species
AGUAACACGUGGGUGAUCUGCCUUGCACUUCGGGAUAAGCCUGGGAAACUAGGUCUAAUACCGGAUAUGACCUGAGAAUGCAUGUUCUUGGGUGGAAAGAUUUAUCGGUGCGAGAUGGGCCCGCGGCCUAUCAGCUUGUUGGUGAGGUAACGGCUCACCAAGGCGACGACGGGUAGCCGACCUGAGAGGGUGACCGGCCACACUGGGACUGAGACACGGCCCAG